AGCGUACACGGUGGAUGCCCUGGCAGUCAGAGGCGAUGAAGGACGUGCUAAUCUGCGAAAAGCGUCGGUAAGGUGAUAUGAACCGUUAUAACCGGCGAUGUCCGAAUGGGGAAACCCAGUGCAAUUCGUUGCACUAUCGUUAACUGAAUACAUAGGUUAACGAGGCGAACCGGGGGAACUGAAACAUCUAAGUACCCCGAGGAAAAGAAAUCAACCGAGAUUCCCCCAGUAGCGGCGAGCGAACGGGGAGCAGCCCAGAGUCUGAAUCAGCUUGUGUGUUAGUGGAACGGUCUGGAAAGUCCGACGGUACAGGGUGAUAGUCCCGUACACCAAAAUGCACAGGCUGUGAACUCGAAGAGUAGGGCGGGACACGUGGUAUCCUGUCUGAAUAUGGGGGGACCAUCCUCCAAGGCUAAAUACUCCUGACUGACCGAUAGUGAACCAGUACCGUGAGGGAAAGGCGAAAAGAACCCCGGCGAGGGGAGUGAAAAAGAACCUGAAACCGUGUACGUACAAGCAGUGGGAGCACCUUCGGGUGUGACUGCGUACCUUUUGUAUAAUGGGUCAGCGACUUAUAUUCUGUAGCAAGGUUAACCGUAUAGGGGAGCCGCAGGGAAACCGAGUCUUAACUGGGCGUUAAGUUGCAGGGUAUAGACCCGAAACCCGGUGAUCUAGCCAUGGGCAGGUUGAAGGUUGGGUAACACUAACUGGAGGACCGAACCGACUAAUGUUGAAAAAUUAGCGGAUGACUUGUGGCUGGGGGUGAAAGGCCAAUCAAACCGGGAGAUAGCUGGUUCUCCCCGAAAGCUAUUUAGGUAGCGCCUCGUGAACUCAUCUUCGGGGGUAGAGCACUGUUUCGGCUAGGGGGUCAUCCCGACUUACCAACCCGAUGCAAACUACGAAUACCGAAGAAUGUUAUCACGGGAGACACACGGCGGGUGCUAACGUCCGUCGUGAAGAGGGAAACAACCCAGACCGCCAGCUAAGGUCCCAAAGUCAUGGUUAAGUGGGAAACGAUGUGGGAAGGCACAGACAGCCAGGAUGUUGGCUUAGAAGCAGCCAUCAUUUAAAGAAAGCGUAAUAGCUCACUGGUCGAGUCGGCCUGCGCGGAAGAUGUAACGGGGCUAAACCAUGCACCGAAGCUGCGGCAGCGACACUAUGUGUUGUUGGGUAGGGGAGCGUUCUGUAAGCCUGCGAAGGUGUGCUGUGAGGCAUGCUGGAGGUAUCAGAAGUGCGAAUGCUGACAUAAGUAACGAUAAAGCGGGUGAAAAGCCCGCUCGCCGGAAGACCAAGGGUUCCUGUCCAACGUUAAUCGGGGCAGGGUGAGUCGACCCCUAAGGCGAGGCCGAAAGGCGUAGUCGAUGGGAAACAGGUUAAUAUUCCUGUACUUGGUGUUACUGCGAAGGGGGGACGGAGAAGGCUAUGUUAGCCGGGCGACGGUUGUCCCGGUUUAAGCAUGUAGGCUGGUUGUCCAGGCAAAUCCGGAUAAUCAAGGCUGAGGUGUGAUGACGAGGCACUACGGUGCUGAAGUAACAAAUGCCCUGCUUCCAGGAAAAGCCUCUAAGCAUCAGGUAACAUUAAAUCGUACCCCAAACCGACACAGGUGGUCAGGUAGAGAAUACCAAGGCGCUUGAGAGAACUCGGGUGAAGGAACUAGGCAAAAUGGUGCCGUAACUUCGGGAGAAGGCACGCUGGUGUGUAGGUGAAGUCCCUGCGGAUGGAGCUGAGACCAGUCGAAGAUACCAGCUGGCUGCAACUGUUUAUUAAAAACACAGCACUGUGCAAACACGAAAGUGGACGUAUACGGUGUGACGCCUGCCCGGUGCCGGAAGGUUAAUUGAUGGGGUUAUCCGUAAGGAGAAGCUCUUGAUCGAAGCCCCGGUAAACGGCGGCCGUAACUAUAACGGUCCUAAGGUAGCGAAAUUCCUUGUCGGGUAAGUUCCGACCUGCACGAAUGGCGUAAUGAUGGCCAGGCUGUCUCCACCCGAGACUCAGUGAAAUUGAACUCGCUGUGAAGAUGCAGUGUACCCGCGGCAAGACGGAAAGACCCCGUGAACCUUUACUAUAGCUUGACACUGAACAUUGAGCCUUGAUGUGUAGGAUAGGUGGGAGGCUUUGAAGCGUGGACGCCAGUCUGCGUGGAGCCAACCUUGAAAUACCACCCUUUAAUGUUUGAUGUUCUAACGUUGGCCCCUGACCGGGGUUGCGGACAGUGUCUGGUGGGUAGUUUGACUGGGGCGGUCUCCUCCCAAAGCGUAACGGAGGAGCACGAAGGUUAGCUAAUCCUGGUCGGACAUCAGGAGGUUAGUGCAAUGGCAUAAGCUAGCUUGACUGCGAGCGUGACGGCGCGAGCAGGUGCGAAAGCAGGUCAUAGUGAUCCGGUGGUUCUGAAUGGAAGGGCCAUCGCUCAACGGAUAAAAGGUACUCCGGGGAUAACAGGCUGAUACCGCCCAAGAGUUCAUAUCGACGGCGGUGUUUGGCACCUCGAUGUCGGCUCAUCACAUCCUGGGGCUGAAGUAGGUCCCAAGGGUAUGGCUGUUCGCCAUUUAAAGUGGUACGCGAGCUGGGUUUAGAACGUCGUGAGACAGUUCGGUCCCUAUCUGCCGUGGGCGCUGGAGAAUUGAGGGGGGCUGCUCCUAGUACGAGAGGACCGGAGUGGACGCAUCACUGGUGUUCGGGUUGUCAUGCCAAUGGCACUGCCCGGUAGCUAAAUGCGGAAGAGAUAAGUGCUGAAAGCAUCUAAGCACGAAACUUGCCCCGAGAUGAGUUCU
rnacentral:rRNA from 1 species